GGGAAUCUACCGUGCCCUGCGGAAUAGCUCCGGGAAACUGGAAUUAAUACCGCAUACGCCCUACGGGGGAAAGAUUUAUCGGGGUAUGAUGAGCCCGCGUUGGAUUAGCUAGUUGGUGGGGUAAAGGCCUACCAAGGCGACGAUCCAUAGCUAGUCUGAGAGGAUGAUCAGCCACAUUGGGACUGAGACACGGCCCAAACUCCUACGGGAGGCAGCAGUGGGGAAUAUUGGACAAUGGGCGCAAGCCUGAUCCAGCCAUGCCGCGUGAGUGAUGAAGGCCUUAGGGUUGUAAAGCUCUUUCACCGGUGAAGAUAAUGACGGUAACCGGAGAAGAAGCCCCGGCUAACUUCGUGCCAGCAGCCGCGGUAAUACGAAGGGGGCUAGCGUUGUUCGGAAUUACUGGGCGUAAAGCGCACGUAGGCGGAUAUUUAAGUCAGGGGUGAAAUCCCAGAGCUCAACUCUGGAACUGCCUUUGAUACUGGGUAUCUUGAGUAUGGAAGAGGUAAGUGGAAUUGCGAGU
rnacentral:rRNA from 1 species